rnacentral:lncRNA from 1 species
CUCUGAUCAACUUGUUACAUCAGUGUCACCUUGCACUGGUUAAUGUAAUUGCAAAGACAAGUUUAUGUAUAAUACAGAGCUCUGAAAAGUUGGGUGGAGAUAGAGGUAGAACUUCACGCUGUUUCAUGAGAGCUUCUUUCAUAAAGAGUAGGAGAUCUUGAUUCUUGUUAAUUUGCCACUGGCAAUUGUUCCCAAUUUGAUGUAGUCAUUUUGAAAUAAUUCUUUAUUACUGCCAGUGAGAUUGGUUUCCUUUUAGCCAUUGUUUGUUUUUUUUGUUUGUUUUUUUUUUUUUUUCCUUCUAAAAGCUGCAUUUGUUGAUAUCUUCCCAGCUGCCCUGAAUCUAAAACUAUUGCACCUGUAUCACUACCUGCCCUGCAAGGUUCAGUUUUAGAUAUGCUCUUUCAAAUGUGUGAAUUCAAAGAGCUAGAAAGGAACAUUGGUAUUUUGCAGUUUCCCUGGAUCUGGUUCAUGUUUAUGAAGAGACUGGAAAGAAAAGAUGCUGUGAAAGUGAAGAACGUAUUGUUAAGAAUGAGAAUUUCCUGGCAAGCAGUCCUUUGA